UCUCGCCUGUUUCUCGGCGAAAGCGCCCCUGGGCGGAGCUCCCUUGUCCGGGGCCGCCGCGGUCCGGGCCCCAGGUCUCGGCAUCGCUCCCGCCGCAGUCCUUGUAUUUCUGGACGUCGCAACAACAUGCCUCGCAAACCGGACACAAAUCAAGCUCUGGCCGCAGGAGUUCCCAUGUGGGUGAGCUGAGCCCCGCGCUUCUCCGCAACUUGCUUCACUAGUUUGUCGAUCUCCGCAGAUUGCCUGUUAGACACGGGUUUACCGUGCGGGGCAGACAGCCCACCAGAGGGACAUGCCUGGCUGUUGGGAAACGGAUCUGUUUUCCUUUUGGGGGAGUGAGUCUGCAGGAGACGCUUUACCACAUCAGUGCCAGAUAAGCCUGCAGCAGGUUGCAGGCCUAAGGACAGUCCCAGAAGGAAGUUCCUGCCCCAAGAAGUCCUGCCUUUUUGUUGCCUUGCCAUUUUACUGUCUUGAGCCGUAACCAAGGAAGAGAGCGGGCACCACUUCCAAAACUUGGUGGAUCCUGUUGAAACUCACUGAUGCUCCUACCCAUCCUCCAGCUGCAUCUAGUGAGCCCCGAUGCCAUGGACGACGCACUGGAACAAGCAUCCCAGGCGCUUCUCAGCUUCCCUGCACCUCUGGGAAGAAGUGUCGCUGUGGGAACAGCUUUGAGAUCUCUUGCACCGGUUUCCCCACAAUUUCAUGUACUGGGAUCUCAUGUACCUUCUCCUUCCAUCUCUCUAGCCCAUAUCUCCAGAGGUGGCCAUGGUAUUGUUCACACAACCGGGGACUUGGUGUUCUCCCCAGAUCUGGAUUAUCUCCUUUCCCAAUUCCAUUUUUGAUUCCAAUCCUGAAUCCAGUCCUUCUGGUGCUACCUGGAGAGGUCGGACUGAGAAAGAUCUGACAAGGAUCAUGGAUACACCUACUCUGCACAGCCACCUCACUGAUCCAGAGCUCUCUUUAAAAGUUUCCUAGAGCAUCAACACUCAAGCAAAACGCUCCACUCAUCUUAGCGGCUUCAGCUGCAUCUGGCUAUCAACCUUUGGGAGGCACUGACAUCCCCAGCUAACAAUGCUUCUAGUCUCCCUCAGUUGGCUUUUACAAACCAGGAUGAGCAUGGGGUACAGUUCACAGUUGUCCCCCCCCCCCCAAACCCCCCUCUCCCAGCACCUACAACAUUGGGCAGCAGCAAUUGAAACUAAGUCAUGUAACCCAGACAAGACAGGAGUUCUCCAACUGCAAACUCUGACUCUGUUACAAGGGACAGCCCCCCAGCUGUGCUGGAUACCAGCAACUUCAAUUGAAAAGUAGGAGUUACUCUGAAACUCCUCACAGCAGACCACAGAAAACUCAUUUGGGGCAGGUGGGACCAUGUGGGACUGCCCUGGGCACUGUGCUCCACAUGCCUGUUUCCAGGAGGAUCGUGUUGGGGGCUGGACCAGGAAGGGCUGCUGUAGGGGCAGAUGAGAGCAUGUACGUGAUUUGGGACAUGCAGUAACAGAAUGAAAGGCAAAGAUGACUAUUAUUUAAAGUGGGGAGAGUACAGUGAUGUCUUGAUAACUGAGGCUAGGAGAAGGAUUGCAUCCUGAUGGUUAGGAUGGGGCAGGAAAGAAGCCCAAGAAACAGUACUGGUCACAGAAGUUCCCCUGCUCUUACAACUCAAGUCAGGAGACUCCUGUAAUGAGUUUUCUGUUUUCUCUCACUUUGCAGAGGAUGCCAUUGUCUGAACUGCUAGGCUCUAUAUUGGAAAGUGAGGAAAUGAGAGGAUAGUUCAUGUAACCCUGAGGACGAGGGUGCUCUUCCCUCCCCACCCCUGCCUGGUCAACAUGGAACCAAGGAGAGUUUCAAGGGAGAAGGAGCAGGAGGGGAAGGAGAGAGGACAAGGGGAGAGGUGAAUACAGAGAUACAAAAGAAGAGAACCUACGGGGAGAAGAGAAAAUGAGAUUGGGAAGUAAGAAACACCAGAGUAGGGACCAGGACCACGGAAGAGAUAGACACUGAGUGGGCACAGUAACUCCAGGAUUAAACUGUGCCUGGGAGCAAGUGCACACAUGUGCCUCUUGGGCACACAUUUGCACCCAACAGUAUCAGCCUGGUCCAGGACUGCACCUGUCCUGCUCUGCCCAAAUGAAAAACAGCCUGGGGGGAGCUCCAGUCUCUCCCCAUGCAAGCUCCAGGUUGGCAAGAGGCAUGGGAUCAGGCCUGGCCUUGGGGGCCUGGGGAGUGGGGGGAGCUGUCCCUGGCUCCAGAGGCAGCUCCCAGCCCCAUAGUCAGGUGCGGACGGUGUGCCUGGGAGAAGCAUGUGCUGGGUCCAGCCAACAGCUGAGGAGACGGGGCCGUGUGCCCAUACCAUACCUGUCCUUCUUUCCCCUGGAGUUGCAGUGGCAGUGAGGCCCAGAGCUUCCCCAUGGUCCGCAUCCUGCAGCCGUGGAAGAGGCUGGGGUUUUGGGCAGCAAGGAUCACACAGCUGUCCCAGGCCUGGGAACUGCCCUCACGCUGCUGAGCGGCUGAUACCUGGGCUGCUUAGGCCCCUGUUACCCUACAGUACCUCCAAUGACAGCAGAGCCUGGCCCAGCUUGGCGACAGCCAGGCUUGGCUCUGGGUAUCAUGAAGAGCAGGGGCCUUCGCUGGCGUGCUGCUGGGCCUGUUGCCCCCUACGCGAUUACCACACCAGUACAGGCCUGCUCCCAGUGCACCUGUGGAGCUCUCGGUAAGGGGCAGGUAUGCAAUGGUGUGCCAAGCCCCCAUGACCCAAUGCCUUCCUCUCUGCCUUGGGCGGUUUGCUCUCUGGGGCUCCAGCCGGCAUUGGGUUUGGGAGGGUUCGUAGCGUUGGGGUGAGGCUUGGGUGUGGGAUGGUUCCUCUUGUCCCAGGGCUCUUUGGGAAUCUUGAGAUGUCCUGGCUGGGCUGUGCUAUGGGAUUUGGGGGCUUUGCAAGCCAGUUCCUGUAGUGAGGUUGCUGGGAGUCUGCUGCAUGGGGCUGCUGGAGCAGCCUGCUCAAGGAUUCAGUGAAGGAUGAGAGAAUAGGAAAAGUUUAGAGCUGCCUGUGUGGGAUUUCUGGAGGUCUGUUCAGCCUCCUCCUUCCUAAACACACCAGGGUUGGCCCUUUGGCUCCCAUGGGUGGGUUGGGUCUGGGAGGGUUUGUAGUGGUGGGGUCAGGCUUGGCUGUGGGAGGGGUCCUCUUGGGGUGCAUGUUCCCAGCAGGGGAUCUCUCAGCUGGGUGCAGUGUUGGGGUUUGGUGGUUUCACCUGGUUUGUGCAGUGAAGAUGUUCUGCUCACAUGCCUGGGGGAUGCUGGAGCACCUCGAGCUCGGUGAGGGUUAGAGAAUGGGGAUUUACAGCUGCCUUUUUCCUUGGCAAUGGUAGGGCUCCCAGCGCUGCUCCUUCUCCAACCUUGGGACCAACUGCACUAGCCUGGACAUUUUUCGGGGAUGCCUGACUCGUGACUCCCACACCCAUUGGCGGAUUAAAUGUUAUAGGUGCCCUGAGCAAACAGAAAAUUGGAGGCCCCCUCACCCCAUUAUAAACAUGUAUGUAUCAAGAAGCAUUAAUAAAUAGACCUGUUAAAUGUU